rnacentral:rRNA from 1 species
AGCAGCCGCGGUAAUUCCAGCUCCAAUAGCGUAUAUUAAAGUUGUUGCAGUUAAAAAGCUCGUAGUUGAAUUUCGAGACCGGUUUAUUGGUCGUGCUUUUGUACGUACUGGUAUUAUUGGUUUCUCCUUUCUGACGAAUCUUAAUGCCAUUAAUUUGGUGUUUUGGGGAAUCAGGACUGUUACUUUGAAAAAAUUAGAGUGUUUAAAGCAGGCUCACGCUUGAAUACAUUAGCAUGGAAUAACGGAAUAGGACGUUUGAUUCUAUUUUGUUGGUUUCUAGGAUCGACGUAAUGAUUAAUAGGGAUAGUUGGGGGCAUUAGUAUUCAAUUGUCAGAGGUGAAAUUCUUGGAUUUAUUGAAGACUAACUACUGCGAAAGCAUUUGCCAAGGAUGUUUUCAUUAAUCAAGAACGAAAGUUAGGGGAUCGAAGACGAUCGGAUACCGUCGUAGUCUUAACCAUAAACUAUGCCGACUAGGGAUCGGAUGAUGUUAAUUUUUAAUGACUCAUUCGGCGCCUUACG